rnacentral:rRNA from 1 species
AUUGAACGCUGGCGGCAGGCCUAACACAUGCAAGUCGAACGAGUGGCGGCCGGGUGAGUAAUGUCGGGGAAACGGCCGGAUGGGGGGGGAAAACAACGGAAAAGGGUAGCUAAUACCGAUUACAAUCAGAGGUGCCCGGAUGGGAUUAGCUGGUUGGUGGGGUAACGGCUAACAAAGGCGACGAUCCCUAGCUGGUCUGGGAGGAUGACCAGCCACACUGGAACUGAGACCCGGUCCAGCCUCCUACGGGAGGCAGCAGUGGGGAAUAUUGCACAAUGGGCGCAAGCCUGAUGCAGCCAUGCCGCGGGUAUGAAGAAGGCCUUCGGGUUGUAAAGUACUUUCAGCGGGGAGGCGUUACCCGCAGAAGAAGCACCGGCUAACUCCGUGCCAGCAGCCGCGGUAAUUC